ensembl:processed_transcript
ACAACACUGCUCUCCAAAUAGAGACUUGGUUGUAAUAGGUUGAAUGAGUGGGCCUUACAAACCAUUCACCUUUACUUUCAGAGAAUUGUAUUUUCUCUUGUCUUUUGCUCUUUUACCUCAUAAGUUUUCUUUUUGCAACUGUGAGAGUGUGAGUAGGCUACUCCAUAAUCUCUCCUCUCUCUCUGGAUUCUGUACGACACAUGUGGAAUUACAGCCUGAUUACCAAGGCUUUUAAGGUCAGCAGACAUGCACCUCAAUGCUGAGAAUUAACCUGGCAUGUUAAUUCUUCAUUACCCAUGUUUCUUUAUGUUGUUUGAUUAAUGUUCAGAUUUUGUUCAUUUGUUUGCACUUGUAUGUACUGGAAGUUGUUUAUUUUCUUUAGUGUUGUUAUUACCUGAUAUUACUAUUAUAUAUGUUCUACUGUGCUGUUAUUUCACAUUCUUAUUAAAAUGUUGCAGAAA